rnacentral:rRNA from 1 species
UACGAAGGGGGCUAGCGUUGUUCGGAUUUACUGGGCGUAAAGCGCACGUAGGCGGCUUCUUAAGUCGGUGGUGAAAUCCUGGAGCUCAACUCCAGAACUGCCUUCGAUACUGGGAGCUCGAGUCCGGGAGAGGUGAGUGGAACUGCGAGUGUAGAGGUGAAAUUCGUAGAUAUUCGCAAGAACACCAGUGGCGAAGGCGGCUCACUGGCC